rnacentral:rRNA from 1 species
CGUGCAGGCGGUCGGGUAAGUCAGAUGUGAAAGCCUUCCGCUUAACGGAAGAAGUGCAUUUGAAACUGCUCGGCUGGAGUACGGGAGAGGAGAGUGGAAUUCCCGGUGUAGAGGUGAAAUUCGUAGAUAUCGGGAGGAACACCAGUGGCGAAGGCGGCUCUCUGGUCCGAUACUGACGCUGAGACGCGAAAGCGUGGGGAGCAAACAGGAUUAGAUACCCUGGUAGUCCACGCCGUAAACGAUGGGCACUAGGUGUAGGAGGUAUUGACCCCUUCUGUGCCGAAGCUAACGCAUUAAGUGCCCCGCCUGGGGAGUACGGCCGCAAGGCUAAA